GACGAACGCUGGCGGCAUGCCUAAUACAUGCAAGUCGAGCGAACAUUUCUAGAAGCUUGCUUCUCUAAAUGUUAGCGGCGGAUGGGUGAGUAACACGUGGGCAACCUGCCCUGCAGAUGGGGAUAACUCCGGGAAACCGGGGCUAAUACCGGAUAAUCAGUUUGUCCGCAUGGACAAACUCUAAAAGACGGCUUCGGCUGUCACUGCAGGAUGGGCCCGCGGCGCCUUAGCUAGUUGGUGGGAUAACGGCCUACCAAGGCAACGAUGGUUAGCCGACCUGAAGGGGUGAUUGGCUAGCCUGGGACUGAGAAACGGCCCAGACUCCUACGGGAGGCAGCAGUAGGGAAUCUUCCACAAUGGACGGGAGGCGGAUGGAGCAAUGCCGCGUGAGCGAAGAAGGUGUUCGGAUCGGAAAGCGCUGUUGGGAGGGAAGAACUAGUACGGGAGUAACUGCCCGUACCUUGACGGUACCGGAAUAGAAAGCCACGGCUAACUACGUG
rnacentral:rRNA from 1 species